rnacentral:rRNA from 1 species
AUUGAACGCUGGCGGCAGGCCUAACACAUGCAAGUCGAGCGAGCGGCGGACGGGUGAGUAAUGUCUGGGAAACUGCCUGAUGGAGGGGGAUAACUACUGGAAACGGUAGCUAAUACCGCAUACCAACAGCGGUGCCCCGCGGGGAUUAGCUAGUAGGGGGGGUGACGGCUCACCUAGGCGACGAUCCCUAGCUGGUCUGAGAGGAUGACCAGCCACACUGUAACUGAGACACGGUCCAGACUCCUACGGGAGGCAGCAGUGGGGAAUAUGGCACAAUGGGCGCAAGCCUGAUGCAGCCAUGCCGCGUGUGUGAAGAAGGCCUUCGGGUUGUAAAGCACUUUCAGCGGGGAGGCGUUACCCGCAGAAGAAGCACCGGCUAACUCCGUGCCAGCAGCCGCGGUAAUUC